rnacentral:rRNA from 1 species
CAGAACGAACGUUAGCGGCGCGCUUAACACAUGCAAGUCGAGCGAGAAAGGGCUUCGGCCCCGGUAAAGCGGCGCACGGGUGAGUAACACGUAGGUAAUCUGCCUCUGGGUGUGGAUAACCUUCCGAAAGAGGGCUAAUACAGCAUAAGACCACGCGACCGAAAGGGAGUGAGGUCAAAGCCGGCCUCUUCACGAAAGCUGGCGCCUAGAGAUGAGCCUGCGGCCCAUCAGCUAGUUGGUAGGGUAAUGGCCUACCAAGGCAAAGACGGGUAGCUGGUCUGAGAGGAUGAUCAGCCACACUGGAACUGAGACACGGUCCAGACUCCUACGGGAGGCAGCAGUGGGGAAUCUUGCGCAAUGGGCGAAAGCCUGACGCAGCGACGCCGCGUGAGUGAUGAAGGCCUUCGGGUUGUAAAGCUCUGUGGAGGGGGACGAAUAAGGGUCGUCGAACAGACGGCCCGAUGACGGUACCCCUUUAGCAAGCACCGGCUAACUCUGUGCCAGCAGCCGCGGUAA